AUGUCCUGGACCACCGUCCCCUUCAUGGGCUUUUGCACAGCUGUCAGCUCCCAGCCUGCGGUGACCCAGGAGCUCUCCCUCACGGUGUUGCCCGGACUGACAGUCACCGUCACCGGCUCUAUGAGUACGGGAUCCAGCACAACUGGGAAUGCUCAAGGAUGGUUCCUGAAGAAACCUGGCCAAACUCCCCUGCAGCUCAUACACCACACGGACAAAUACCCAGCAUCCAUCCCCAGCUGCUUUUCAGGCUCCAUCCUUGGGGGCAGAGCUGCGCUCACCAUCGCUGGGGUGCAGCCAAAGGAAGAGACUGAGGACUUCUGUAUAGUCUGGUCUGAUGCACCUGUUUCAUAG